rnacentral:sRNA from 1 species
AUUUAACUCAGAUGCUGAACGUGAAGGAUAACGUUGCGUCAGCAACGGCCCGAAGGGCGAGGCAAAGCCGAGUCAUCCUGCACGACCUACCA